ACUUGCCUCUCACGUGGCGUUAUCUUGGAGAACUCCCCCAGGACCGGAAGGUAGCAAGGGUAUCUGGGCUCUGACGGGUGCGUGAGGGGUCUUUUUU
rnacentral:SRP_RNA from 1 species